rnacentral:lncRNA from 1 species
UUAGGAUUUGAUUAAGAUUUGGUUUAGGGUUUAGGAUUAGGGUUAAGAUUUGGUUAGGAUUUCAUUUAAGGUUGAGAUUUAGGAUUUGGUUAGGAUUUGAUUUAGGAUUAGGAUUUGGUUUAGGAUUUGGUUAGGAUUUAAGAUUUGGUUAAGAUUUGUUCAAGAUUUGAUUUAGAGUUUAGGAUUUAUUUGAAUUUAUUUAGGAUUUAAGUUUUAGUUAGUUUUUGACCUAAAGUUUGAAUGAAGUAAGAUUUUAACUAAGAUUAAAUUAAUAUUGAAUUGAGAUGUAUUUGAAAUAUGUUUGUAAUCAUUCUAAUAUUUCUUUAAAUUUUCUUAUUCUUUCUUUGGAAUUCCUUUGAGGUUUCUUUGAAUUUGAUUAAAGCUUGUUUAGCAUUGUUAGUGAUCUAUUAGAAUUAGGAUUUUGUUGUUGCAAUUUCCAUUCUACCUUCCACAGUUAGGUGCCCGAAGCAUUCUCAAGCAAGACUUCACGUAUUACGACAGCAUGCAAAUUGAACCCUAGAGGAUAUACUACAAGUAUUUA